rnacentral:piRNA from 1 species
UUGCAACAACAAAUAGUAUUGGGGUGUUAU